rnacentral:rRNA from 1 species
UACGGAGGAUCCAAGCGUUAUCCGGAUUUAUUGGGUUUAAAGGGUGCGUAGGCGGCUUAUUAAGUCAGGGGUGAAAGACGGUGGCUCAACCAUCGCAGUGCCCUUGAUACUGAUGAGCUUGAAUACACUUGAGGUAGGCGGAAUGUGACAAGUAGCGGUGAAAUGCAUAGAUAUGUCACAGAACACCAAUUGCGAAGGCAGCUUACUAAGGUGCAAUUGACGCUGAGGCACGAAAGCGUGGGGAUCAAGCAGG